CUUUGGUUCAGAGGUCUCAGAUAUAAAGGAGCAUUGAAAUCAAGGACGAAGAUGCCAACAAAGACUUGUGGAAGAUGGAGGACCCAGACCUAUGAAAGUGACACUUCUUCAUUCAGGCUUCUUUCAGAGAAAUAGCAAUAAUAACAAUAAAAAAAAGCACUCGGCAACAUCUCUGAUCACAAAGGCUGAAUGAGUUUCUGGCCUCUGAGACUGAAAGGAUUUUUCCAUUGAUAGUUAAACAUAGUCAUGGGCAGCUGUCAUGCAAGGUACAGUCUGAGGCUGUGGCAGUCAGCUGAGGCCAUAGCUCACCAGUGUAGAGGCAGAGUCCAGCUGUGUGUACCUGUUAUAUAUGCAUACAUAAAAAUUAUUGGCCUGCCUUGAAUGUCAUUUUUUUUUUCGCAACAGUAUUUAAUAUAUCUUUUAUGAAUAAUGACAACUUUCAAGAACAGAUCUAUUAUUUGACUGUAAAAAUGGGAAAAAAUCAAGAGAAUUUGUACAUCUUCUAGUUGUCUGCUUUUAAUUGACUCAUCUUAAAAGUUACAGCUAAUGCUUUUAGAUAUUGUCUAAGCAAAUAUAUUUCCAGAGUUGAGAAUGGAUUUACAAAUGCACCAACUUCCAAAGAGCUGCUCCUGGCAUGCAGAUCUAAAUUUUGUAGGUGGCCACAGGAUGCCAGUCUUUUACUUGUAACAUUUAGUAUUCCAGUGCUUCGGAGUCUGAGUUUGAAUGUCUCAGAGAUGGAAGGUGGACACCUGCCCGUAAGGAGCUGAAUGAACACUUGAUGAUGAUUUUGAGAGCCAAACAGCAUAAAAAUGGUUCUAUAUUCUGCUCUACUCAGGAUUGUGAACACCUUUGCGAGGAUUUUGCCUUGGAGACAUUCACCCUAAUGUCUAUAAGAUGUUUGUCAUCAUCUCGCCUGUUCCUACUCAUUAUUCCCUCUAAGUCAAAGAAGAUCACAGCAUGA
rnacentral:lncRNA from 1 species